rnacentral:rRNA from 1 species
AGAGUUUGAUCCUGGCUCAGAUUGAACGCUGGCGGCAUGCCUUACACAUGCAAGUCGAACGGCAGCGCGGGGCAACCUGGCGGCGAGUGGCGAACGGGUGAGUAAUAUAUCGGAACGUACCCUGGAGUGGGGGAUAACGUAGCGAAAGUUAUGCUAAUACCGCAUACGAUCCAAGGAUGAAAGCAGGGGACCGCAAGGCCUUGUGCUCCUGGAGCGGCCGAUAUCUGAUUAGCUAGUUGGCGGGGUAAAAGCCCACCAAGGCAACGAUCAGUAGCUGGUCUGAGAGGACGACCAGCCACACUGGAACUGAGACACGGUCCAGACUCCUACGGGAGGCAGCAGUGGGGAAUUUUGGACAAUGGGCGCAAGCCUGAUCCAGCAAUGCCGCGUGAGUGAAGAAGGCCUUCGGGUUGA